CCUACGGGUGGCAGCAGUAGGGAAUCUUCCACAAUGGGCGAAAGCCUGAUGGAGCAACGCCGCGUGGGUGAAGAAGGCCUUCGGAUUGUAAAACCCUUUUGUUAUAGAAGAAAGCGCGUGAGAGUAACUGUUCAUGUAUCUACGUUAUCUAACCAGAAAGCCACGGCUAACUACGUGCCAGCAGCCACGGUAAUACGUAGGUGGCAAGCGUUAUCCGGAUUUAUUGGGCGUAAAGGGAACGCAGGCGGUCUUUUAAGUCUGAUGUGAAAGCCUUCGGCUUAACCGGAGUAUUGCAUUCGAGACUGGGAGACUUGAGUACAGAAGAGGGGAGUGGAACUCCAGGUGUAGCGGUGAAAUGCGUAGAUAUAUGGAAGAACACCGAUGGCGAAAGCAGCUCUCUGGACUGUAACUGACGCUGAGGUUCGAAAGCGUGGGUAGCAAACAGGAUUAGAUACCCGAGUAGUC
rnacentral:rRNA from 1 species